rnacentral:rRNA from 1 species
ACGUAGGGUGCGAGCGUUAAUCGGAAUUACUGGGCGUAAAGCGUGCGCAGGCGGAUGGGCAAGACAGAUGUGAAAUCCCCCGGCUCAACUUGGGAACUGCCAUUGUGACUGCACGACUGGAGUGCAGUAGGAGGGGAUGGAAUUUCUCGUGUAGCAGUGAAAUGCGUAGAUAUGCCGAAGAACACCGAUGGCGAAGGCAAUCCCCUAAGUUGGAACUGACGCUCAUGCACGAAAGCGUGGGGAUCAAACAG